AUUGAACGCUGGCGGCAUGCCUUACACAUGCAAGUCGAACGGCAGCACGGGAGCAAUCCUGGUGGCGAGUGGCGAACGGGUGAGUAAUAUAUCGGAACGUGCCCAGUCGUGGGGGAUAACGUAGCGAAAGCUACGCUAAUACCGCAUACGAUCUACGGAUGAAAGCGGGGGAUCGCAAGACCUCGCGCGAUUGGAGCGGCCGAUAUCAGAUUAGCUAGUUGGUGGGGUAAAAGCUCACCAAGGCGACGAUCUGUAGCUGGUCUGAGAGGACGACCAGCCACACUGGAACUGAGACACGGUCCAGACUCCUACGGGAGGCAGCAGUGGGGAAUUUUGGACAAUGGGCGCAAGCCUGAUCCAGCAAUGCCGCGUGCAGGAUGAAGGCCUUCGGGUUGUAAACUGCUUUUGUACGGAACGAACGGUGAGGCUCUAAUAAAGCUUGCUAAUGAACGGUACCGUAAGGAAUAAGACACCGGCUAACUACGUACG
rnacentral:rRNA from 1 species